rnacentral:lncRNA from 1 species
GCUGACCACGCCGGAGCCUCUGCCCCCCCAGCCGCCCGAGUGGCAGAAUCUCAGCCUAGAUGGGACCCCGGUUUCAUAAAUGAGGAAACUGGAACGCAAAGAGGGGAACUACCCAAGGUCACUCGGAUUUGGUGGCUAAGCAAGGGGUAAGAACCCAGGUCUCCGGAGCAGAGUGCUUCACUUCAAAGCAUCCCACAGCGAUUAGCGGUUUAUAUUUCGAAAGCACCAGGAAAGCUUCCCUUCUGAUUUAUGACAGUGAAUGUGUCAACCUUUACUGAACGAGAUUCUUGCUGGUGACUAACAAAAUUCCCUUCACCUCCAUCCUGCAGCAUUUUAAAGUUCAUCUUUUGGUUGAUUCCUGGCUAGGCUCCUCGCCCAGAUGGGCCCCUCCCUCUGCUAGACCGAAGUGGUUCCACUGACCUUUAUGACCCACAGAUGACCCGCUGAGCUCGCCUCACACUCUUUUGUGGCCAUGGGGGCAGAGGGUCGGUGUGGGAGGCCUGGGCUGCACUGGGAGAGAAGGCAACAAAGGGGGCACUCAACUCCAGGCACCUGGGUAGAGGCUGGAGGGGAGAGGUGGGUGCGGAAGGAGACAGCAGUGCAGCUGCCUUUACAUGGAUAUAAAGGACAAGGGGAGCCCCGGAGCCUUUAAACAUAAGGCAGAGAUGGAGAAGAGCAAUGCCCUGAGAAGUCACAAUUCUCUUUCCACUCUACCUACCCUCCCACUGAGCCCAGACUCCCUCUCCCUGCCCCCCAACUCCCAACAUGGGGGCCAUUCCCAGGGCCCUCCCCAGCUGCCCUCCCUUCCCACACUUCAACCAGCUCCCUCCGCUGGAAAGAGCCCAAGAGGAGGACCCAGCUGCAGCUCCAGAUGUGGAUGAUACUCUCUGGGGGAAGGGGGGAAGGGGAGUCAGACGCCAAGCCUCUUGCAUCACCCUCCAAUGAUGAUGAAACUAUGCCAGAGAUUUUGGCAAGGGUGUGGGUUAGGGUCUGAGGAUAUAUCUGUUGGUACCAUCCUCUCUCCCUUCCCUCCCCCACUCACCCCCACAGAUAACUGCUCCGUCCAGUAGUCCAGAUCACUCUGGUUUUGAUGAGUCAAAUCCAAACAAUGAUAAUUUCAAGGGCAAAUUUCAAGGGCAAAUCAACACCCCUCCCCCCAACCUGCUUCAAAACAGGGCACCACCAGCAGUGGCCCAACGGUGGAGGAGGAGAGGGAGGGGAUGCUGGUGGGAUCCUGCACCUUUUACUAGCAUUUGAACCUAGAGGAAGCUCUCUCUGGGCCAGUAGGCCACCCCUUCCCGAGCAGUAGGCCUGCAGAGUGUUGAGUCAGAUCCUGGACAUUCUCUCCCCAUCUUCCAACCAAAAUAAGAGAUGGGGAGGUGGCUAACAAUUAUGGACCAUCCAUGAGAACCAGGUAUUUUUAUGCAUAUUCUCAUUUGAAUCUCAUAACCUUGUGAGCUGGGCUUUAUUAUUCUCUUUCAGUUUUGCAGUUGGGGGAGAAUGAGUCUCACCCAGCAUAUAAGCAAUGGAGCCAGGAUUUGAACUUAUGCAUCUUGUUCCAAACUCCCCAGAUCACCUCCAAGCAAGUGCCCAGAGGGAAGGGAGCCGGCCUGACCCAGGCUUUUGCUGGAGAUUUAGCCCUCCUGGAUGAUAAUGCUGCAUUUUGCAAAGCUGCUCUCCCGCCCACUAGACCCUGGACUUCUCUGGGGCUCAUCUCUGGUUUCCUGCCUCCAGGAGGUCCCCUCUGACUUCCGAGAUUAGGUGACCCUUCUGACUCACAGCUUUACUGCUGGGAAAUGGCGCCAGAGCCGCUGCAAGCACCCUCCCCUUCCCUCCACGCCAAAGGAUGUCAAGCCAGGAGGAGCAGGGAGGCACAUGCGCUGGAAACUCUGGCUUCCUAGAGGUCAGGGCCCCACAUCAGCUGUGCCAGCCACCUCAGCAGCUCCCUCCUGGACCACCAGGGCCAUUAGAUGUCCAGACUCUUGACUCCUGGGCACUGCUGCCCAGAGGUGAGCAGGGAAACCGGGCACAGAGGUCAGAGGGAGAUCCAAGGGUCAGGAAGAGACGUGGGGAGAUUUAGGUUAGAUGGGUCAGAGGAGGCCGAGGACAAUCCCUGCCCUCUCCAGUCUCUGUGUGCCUUCAGCACAGACUCUGCUUCCUCUCUCUGGCUUGUUCCCACCCCCACCCUUUCCCACCCCUUCUCCCUCCUCCCAGCUGCUCUUUCCUUCCCUAACCCUGAAGUUUCUCAAGGAGCUGCCUAUAUGCCUAGCCCUCCCAACCCCCACCCCUUUCCUCUCAGCCUGACAGAAAUGGGCAAACACAUAUACACUACCUCCUGUUUGGUCCUUAAUUCCGCUAAUUGGACUGGAGUUUGAGCUCCAGCUCUUGUCCUAAGCUGAGGCCUUUCCCCAUCAGGCGUCUAGGAGCCUCCAUCAUUUCUCUUGACAGGAGCCGUGGGCGUCUGGGCAGAUGGGAACGUGGGGGGAGCUGUGGAGGACCCUCUCUGAGGCAGGAAGCUCCCACUCCUGUAGUUAAAAUACUCCAGCAGCAACUUGAGGAAGCCAUCUGGCCCAGAUCUCUCAGGCACGGCCUAGCUUUCAAUAGCAACCCUACGGUAACAAAUCAAUAUACCUAAGAGAUACCCUUCAGCUCCAGAAAUGUCUCUAGAGGUGGUCUGAGCCUGAGACCUGUUCCCUCUUAUCUUCUUUAGGGUUAGCACUAGGCAUUGGCAUUUGAAGAAAUGAUCUGAGCAUUGUCCUAAAAGUUCCAGGGGUGGAAAGUAUAGAGUUCUGGACCUCCAGGCCUAACUGUCAGCCCCACCCCAGCAGCUGGGCUUGGUUCCAUGGGACAAUGGGCAUUAGCCCGUCCUGCCAGCCACGCCCUCCCGUGUCCACCUGGAUAUGGAGCCCAGCUGUGCCUGCCAACAGGAGCUCAGAACCCCUGAAAGGAUCUACUUGGGUGCAGAUUCAGAGGUCUUAGAUCAGGCGCGGGCUCAGCCUGACUUCCUGUGUUACAGAAGGAGACAGACUUAGCCUUAGAGGAAACCAGAAUUUGUUAUAAAUAGAAGGGAGAGAGAACUGCCGUGGAUUAUAAACACCCCAUCAGUCCUAAAAAAAAAAAAAAAAAACCCAACUAUUUUUGGUUUCAAAUGUUAAUGACAAUUUAAUGAAUACUCCAUAUAACCUCAGACAUGGCUCUUCAUCCACUUUGUGCUCUGCCAUGUUUCCUAUCAGGGCCAAAAGCAGGAAGAGCAGGUGUGGGAAAUUCUCAAUGUCACAGAACCUUUGUGGAGUUGAAAAGAACGCUCAGAUCAUCGAGUUUUACAGUUUCAUUUUCCGGUGAAGACACGGAAGCCCAGACGGGUAAAGAGACUCGUCGACAGUUGAACAAUAAACUAGUGAGCAGGGACCAACAGUGUGGUCCUCAUGGGUCCAGAGCAGGGCGGUUUCCGCAGCAGCAUGGAAGGACCCAGAAGCUAAACAUCCAAGACUGGGCCCUGCGUGAGUUUCUGGCUUGGAUGAAAGUGAAGACUAUACCAGAUAACAAGAGACAGGUGGAAGCUGAAGUGUGGUGUUCCAAGUCAGAGAUCUGGGUUGAGAGUCCCACCCUGCCACGCGCUAGCUACGUAACCCUGGGCAAGUUAUGUAACUACCUCA